UGAUUAUGACGUGCUUGCACUGAAUGAGAUUUUAACACGAAGUGAGUGGCGGACGGGUGAGUAACACGUGGGUAACCUGCCCAGAAGCAGGGGAUAACACCUGGAAACAGAUGCUAAUACCGUAUAACAGAGAAAACCGCCUGGUUUUCUUUUAAAAGAUGGCUCUGCUAUCACUUCUGGAUGGACCCGCGGCGCAUUAGCUAGUUGGUGAGGUAACGGCUCACCAAGGCGAUGAUGCGUAGCCGACCUGAGAGGGUAAUCGGCCACAUUGGGACUGAGACACGGCCCAGACUCCUACGGGAGGCAGCAGUAGGGAAUCUUCCACAAUGGACGCAAGUCUGAUGGAGCAACGCCGCGUGAGUGAAGAAGGGUUUCGGCUCGUAAAGCUCUGUUGUUAAAGAAGAACGUGGGUGAGAGUAACUGUUCACCCAGUGACGGUAUUUAACCAGAAAGCCACGGCUAACUACGUGCCAGCAGCCGCGGUAAUACGUAGGUGGCAAGCGUUAUCCGGAUUUAUUGGGCGUAAAGCGAGCGCAGGCGGUCUUUUAAGUCUAAUGUGAAAGCCUUCGGCUCAACCGAAGAAGUGCAUUGGAAACUGGGAGACUUGAGUGCAGAAGAGGACAGUGGAACUCCAUGUGUAGCGGUGAAAUGCGUAGAUAUAUGGAAGAACACCAGUGGCGAAGGCGGCUGUCUGGUCUGUAACUGACGCUGAGGCUCGAAAGCAUGGGUAGCGAACAGGAUUAGAUACCCUGGUAGUCCAUGCCGUAAACGAUGAUUACUAAGUGUUGGAGGGUUUCCGCCCUUCAGUGCUGCAGCUAACGCAUUAAGUAAUCCGCCUGGGGAGUACGACCGCAAGGUUGAAACUCAAAAGAAUUGACGGGGGCCCGCACAAGCGGUGGAGCAUGUGGUUUAAUUCGAAGCUACGCGAAGAACCUUACCAGGUCUUGACAUCUUCUGCCAACCUAAGAGAUUAGGCGUUCCCUUCGGGGACAGAAUGACAGGUGGUGCAUGGUUGUCGUCAGCUCGUGUCGUGAGAUGUUGGGUUAAGUCCCGCAACGAGCGCAACCCUUAUUACUAGUUGCCAGCAUUCAGUUGGGCACUCUAGUGAGACUGCCGGUGACAAACCGGAGGAAGGUGGGGACGACGUCAAAUCAUCAUGCCCCUUAUGACCUGGGCUACACACGUGCUACAAUGGAUGGUACAACGAGUCGCGAAACCGCGAGGUUUAGCUAAUCUCUUAAAACCAUUCUCAGUUCGGACUGUAGGCUGCAACUCGCCUACACGAAGUCGGAAUCGCUAGUAAUCGCGGAUCAGCAUGCCGCGGUGAAUACGUUCCCGGGCCUUGUACACACCGCCCGUCACACCAUGAGAGUUUGUAACACCCAAAGCCGGUGGGGU
rnacentral:rRNA from 1 species